GGCCUAAUGGUCUAGUAGCAUGAUACCUCCUUCGGGAUUUGCCAAAAUUCCACGUAGAACGUAAUCAUGGAGGUGGUCCUGGGUUCAAUUCCCAGUUAGGCCC